rnacentral:rRNA from 1 species
AUGGCGGCGCGGCGGGCGGCGGCGUGGGAGCAGGGCGGCGACGAGUACGACUACCUGUUCAAGGUGGUGCUGAUCGGCGACUCCGGCGUGGGCAAGUCCAACCUCCUCUCCCGCUUCACCAAGAACACCUUCUCCCUCGACUCCAAGUCCACCAUCGGCGUCGAGUUCGCCACCCGCACCACACAGGUGGAAGGGAAGACGAUAAAGGCGCAGAUAUGGGACACGGCGGGGCAGGAGCGGUACCGGGCGAUCACGAGCGCCUACUACCGGGGCGCCGUGGGGGCGCUGCUGGUCUACGACGUCACCAAGGCCGCCACCUUCGACAACGUGAAGCGGUGGCUCAAGGAGCUGCGCGACCACGCCGACUCCAACAUCGUCAUCAUGCUCAUCGGCAACAAGACCGACCUCCGCCACCUCCGCUCCGUCGCCACCGACAAGGCCGCGGGCUUCGCCGAGUGGGAAGGCCUCUCCUUCAUCGAGACCUCCGCGCUCGACGCCACCAACGUCGACAAGGCCUUCCAGACCGUCCUCGCCGAGAUCUACCGGGUGGUCGGCAAGAAGGCGCUGUCGUCCACGGAUGAUUCCGGUGCCGGCGCCGUCGGAGAGGGGCAGUCCAUCCUCGUGUCCGGCGGAGAACCCACCAGCGUUUCCUCGAGAUGCUGCUCUUUCUAG